CUUUCGAGGGCAACUUCUAGGUCAAUUCGUGAACAAUAGCAUAAUAGCGCUCAUUGGUUAACGUUAGUGACAUAUCGGACCUAAAUCAGAAUUGCCAACAUACCACUUCCACAGUAAACAUACACAUAGGGCGGUGGUGGACGUUAGACUCAGUCAUGUGAUGUAGCAUGUAGCAAAGCAUCUGCUGCAGUCAGUCAACACAGUUAAAAACAUUUGUAUUCAGGAAGGCAUGUCUGGCCUUGUGUUAAAUCUUAUGUUAAAAUGUUAAAACGUUUUCUAUUGUGCUUAUGUUAACUCAUUUUUAUUUUAUUGUAUUAUUAUAGUUCGUUUCUAAUAUGUUGGCACUCUGAGAUUCUUCUGAAUGAAGAGUGCAGUACAAAUAAAAUGAAUUAUUAUUAUUAUUAUUACAGUUCGGCACCAUCGGCUGUUUAAAUGUUUCAAUGGUGUAUUCAGAUGUUGAUAGAGAUCGAACCCACUCUCUGAUUUCAGCCAGCAUCUACGUGGUGCGGAAGAUCCGAGCCUCUAUCCAGGAGGGGGCGCAGGCCGAGGAACCGAUCUUCACACCAUGUAGUCUGGCCAAAGGUGCGCAGAGGGAGCUCUCAGGUGCGUCGGGGAAGACAGCCAUGUUGACCUCUGACCCUGAUGAUGACGGAGCGGGCGGGGUUCAGGCUCAAUCCACCGACACAGCAGUGCAGAAGUGCGGCUCCUCCUGAGGUUAAAGGUCACGCCAGCAGGUUGCUGAGGGCAACAGGAUGUCAACAAGAUGAUGGGCACCAGAAGUCUCUUGUCAUCCCCAAGACUUGUUAGGUUACCACCACCAGGUUAAGCUGAAUGCGGACUGUAGAGUCUGGAUUAGAUGAUCCUAUUAGCUGUAGAGAGGUCAGCGGACUUAAGAAUGUAAAAUAUCAAAAGUCAAAAUGACAUCAAGUCCACCUCCAGUCUAAAGGACAUCCUUGCAGUCCUAUGGGCACUGUCAUCGGUGUCAUCACUGUCAUCGGUGUCAUCGGUGUCAUCAGCGUCAUCACUGUCAUCGGUGUCAUCAGCCAUGGUGUCCUGAGUGGUGGCGGUGGACAAACAGUCCCAGAUUAACUAGCAGCAUUAUGUCACCCUUAUGACAUCAUCAUCAUCCCAGUCCUCCCAGAGCAGCUCUGCCAGGCGUGUCUUAAAACCAAGGAGCCUCUCUCUCUCUCUCUCUCUCUCUCUCUCUCUCUCUGUCUCUCUCUCUCUUUUUCAGCUGUUCAUGAUGGUCCGCACAUCAACCCUUCAUCGAGGGGCUGUUUGGACCUGAAGUUUUUCUUCAGCUGAAAACACACACACACACAUACGCACACCCACACACACACACACACACACACACACACACACACACACACACACACACACACACAUAUACACACACUUUCUCACACACAGAUUGUAAUAACAUAACUUCAACUCUGUAUGUGCGCAUCGUUUUUAGAACUGUAUGUCUGUUCAUGUCUGUUGAUGAGUGAGGUGUACAAUGACAAAUAAACAGUUUAUAACUACUUCA
rnacentral:lncRNA from 1 species